rnacentral:misc_RNA from 1 species
AAAGUGAAUUUGCAAAGUUAACAGCACCAAAUGGCCAAUUUGUGAACUCUCAUGCUUAGAUUUUCCGCCAGGACCUGACAUUAAAGCUUUCAGAAGUGAAAAAGGAGUUAAAAAAACUCUUGUUAUGCAGGUUGAAGUCAUCUGGAGGUUGUGUAGAAGACUAGAUUCUCAAACAUUUGAGCAAAAUUUGUAGCAGAGAAAUUUCGGAAUGCAGUGAAAAGAACUUUGACUCCCUGUUUUGCUUCUGGCAUGACAGGUUUGAGUUCCAUUUUUUCUUUCCAUUCUAUUUCCAUCUUAGAUGAAAUUUCUUGCAUUUUAUUUAAAUAUUGCAAGAAAAGCACCAAAA